rnacentral:rRNA from 1 species
GGGGCCCGCACAAGCGGUGGAGCAUGUGGUUUAAUUCGAUGCAACGCGAAGAACCUUACCUGGGCUUGACAUCCCGGGAAUCCCUUGGAAACAAGGGAGUGCCCUUCGGGGAGCCCGGAGACAGGUGCUGCAUGGCUGUCGUCAGCUCGUGUCGUGAGAUGUAGGGUUAAGUCCCGCAACGAGCGCAACCCUUGUCUUUAAUUGCCAUCAUUGAGUUGGGCACUUUAAAGAGACUGCCGGUGUUAAACCGGAGGAAGGUGGGAUGACGUCAAGUCCUCAUGGCCUUUGUGCCCAGGGCUACACACGUGCUACAAUGGGUGGUACAAAGAGCAGCCAGCUCGCGAGAGUAAGCAAAUCUCAAAAAGCCGUCCUCAGUUCGGAUUGGAGUCUGCAACUCGACUCCAUGAAGUUGGAAUCGCUAGUAAUCGCGGAUCAGCAUGCCGCGGUCGAAUACGUUCCCGGGCCUU